rnacentral:rRNA from 1 species
AGUAACACGUAAACAACCUGCCUUCAGGAUGGGGACAACAGACGGAAACGACUGCUAAUACCGAAUAAGUUCCAAGGGCCGCAUGGCCCAUGGAAGAAAAGGUGGCCUCUACCUGUAAGCUAUCGCCUGAGGAGGGGUUUGCGUCUGAUUAGCUGGUUGGGGGGGUAACGGCCCACCAAGGCGACGAUCAGUAGCCGGUCUGAGAGGAUGAACGGCCACACUGGAACUGAGACACGGUCCAG